CUUUUAAAGUUGCAGGAAAAAAAAAGAUUCCAUUGAACCAGUAGAUAGCAAUGAUUCUGUUAGCAAUAGUGAAUGUUGCCCUGCAUAAUAACCCUCCCCUCUCUUAUCUCCCUCACACCAGCCACAAAGGUUUUCAAAGGCAAGUGAAGGCUAAUUUGUUUUUUUCUUUAUAUUUUGUAUUUUCUUCAUUAUUUUGUAUUAUAUUACAGUACUAUAAUCAUUUUUAUAUGAAAAUUUGGGGGUUAUGGAACAAAUCAUCUCAGUUUCCAUUAUUUCUUGUGGGGAGGUUCACUUUGA